rnacentral:rRNA from 1 species
AUUGAACGCUGGCGGCAUGCCUUACACAUGCAAGUCGAACGGUAACGCGGGGCAACCUGGCGACGAGUGGCGAACGGGUGAGUAAUGCAUCGGAACGUGCCCAGUAGUGGGGGAUAACUGCUCGAAAGAGCAGCUAAUACCGCAUACGACCUGAGGGUGAAAGCGGGGGAUCGCAAGACCUCGCGCUAUUGGAGCGGCCGAUGUCAGAGUAGGUAGUUGGUGGGGUAAAGGCCCACCAAGCCAAAGAUCUGUAGCUGGUCUGAGAGGACGACGAGCCACACUGGGACAGGGACACGGCCGAGAAUCCUACGGGAGGAAGAAGUGGGGAAUUUUGGACAAUGGACGCAAGUCUGAUCCAGCCAUACCGCGUGCGGGGAGAAGGCCUUCGGGUGGUAAACCGCUUUUGUCAGGGAAGAAACGCUCUGGGUUAAUACCUCGGGGUAAUGACGGUACCUGAAGAAUAAGCACCGGCUAACUACGUGCCAGCCGCCGCGGUAAGAC